rnacentral:tRNA from 1 species
GGUGAUAUAUCUAAGUGGUGAGUGCUUGUCUGGCAUUUGUGAGACCCUGGGUUCAAAUCCCAGCACCCCCA